CCUACGGGAGGCAGCAGUGGGGAAUAUUGGGCAAUGGGCGCAAGCCUGACCCAGCAACGCCGCGUGAAGGAAGAAGGCUUUCGGGUUGUAAACUUCUUUUGUCAGGGACGAAGCAAGUGACGGUACCUGACGAAUAAGCCACGGCUAACUACGUGCCAGCAGCCGCGGUAAUACGUAGGUGGCAAGCGUUAUCCGGAUUUACUGGGUGUAAAGGGCGAGUAGGCGGGGAAGCAAGUCGGGUGUGAAAACCACGGGCUCAACCUGGGGCCUGCAUUUGACACUGUUAUUCUUGAGUGCUGGGGAGGGAAGCGGAAUUCCGUGUGUAGCGGUGAAAUGCGUAGAUAUACGGAGGAACACCAGUGGCGAAGGCGGAUUGCUGGACAGUAACUGACGCUGAGGCGCGAAAGCGUGGGGAGCAAACAGGAUUAGAUACCCCUGUAGUC
rnacentral:rRNA from 1 species